rnacentral:rRNA from 1 species
AUUGAACGCUGGCGGCAUGCCUUACACAUGCAAGUCGAACGGCAGCACGGGAGCAGUCCUGGUGGCGAGUGGCGAACGGGUGAGUAAUAUAUCGGAACGUGCCCAGUCGUGGGGGAUAACGUAGCGAAAGCUACGCUAAUACCGCAUACGAUCUAUGGAUGAAANCGGGGGAUCGCAAGACCUCGCGCGAUUGGAGCGGCCGAUAUCAGAUUAGGUAGUUGGUGAGGUAAAGGCUCACCAAGCCGACGAUCUGUAGCUGGUCUGAGAGGACGACCAGCCACACUGGGACUGAGACACGGCCCAGACUCCUACGGGAGGCAGCAGUGGGGAAUUUUGGACAAUGGGCGCAAGCCUGAUCCAGCAAUGCCGCGUGCAGGAUGAAGGCCUUCGGGUUGUAAACUGCUUUUGUACGGAACGAAACGGUGAGCUCUAAUACAGUUUGCUAAUGACGGUACCGUAAGAAUAAGCACCGGCUAACUACGUG